UACGUAGGUGGUAAGCGUUGUCCGGAUUUAUUGGGUUUAAAGGGUGCGUAGGCGGCUAAUUAAGUCAGUGGUGACAGCCUGUAGCUCAACUAUAGAACUGCCAUUGAUACUGGUUAGCUUGAGUACGGUAGAGGUACGCGGAAUGGAUGGUGUAGCGGUGAAAUGCAGAGAUAUCAUCCAGAACACCGAUAGCGAAGGCAUUGUACUGGCCAAUAACUGACGCUGAUGCACGAAAGCAUGGGUAGCGAACAGG
rnacentral:rRNA from 1 species